UACAGAGGGGGCGAGCGUUGUUCGGAAUUACUGGGCGUAAAGGGCGCGUAGGCGGCCCUCUAAGUCGAACGUGAAAUCCCCGGGCUCAACCCGGGAACUGCGUCCGAUACUGGCAGGCUUGAAUCCGGGAGAGGGAUGUGGAAUUCCAGGUGUAGCGGUGAAAUGCGUAGAUAUCUGGAGGAACACCGGUGGCGAAGGCGGCAUCCUGGACCGGUAUUGACGCUGAGGCGCGAAAGCUAGGGGAGCAAACGGG
rnacentral:rRNA from 1 species